rnacentral:lncRNA from 1 species
UGAAGAAAUAACAAAGUUUGGAGUUAAUUGGGGGCACGAUUGCAACAGCUUAAAGUCCAAGGAUUAGUUUGUAAAAAACGCCGAAAUACAGGGGUCCAAUUACAAUUUAUCCAGGGGCUUGAUUACACGAUUCCAGAACUUCAGUGACUGGAUUGCAAAUGGCCAUUCCCAUCACACAAAAGGCGCCGUUUCUAGAAAUCAGCCGUCGCCUUCUUCGUCUCCUUCCACAGGAACGGUUUCUGCAGUAAUGGCUUUGAAGCCGUUUCAAUUGUAGAGAUGCUUGGCAUUCUCUGGCUAUAAAGCCAGAGAAGAUGAGAGAGCGCGAGGGGGAAGGAAUCACAGAACCGGAGGGGGACUAAAAACGAAGGAAGAAGAGCAGACAUGCAUUCCUCUGUUUCUUCUCAAAGAAACAGAGGAGGCUAAAGAAAAAGCCACGAACAAAAGGAAGUAAACAGAGAGCUAAACCCAUCUUCAGUUUAGUCCCAGAAUUCAAUCACAACAUAUGAACAGAAGAGGAAAGCAGAGGAGAGCAGAGAGUAAGUAAAAAAACCCAACAAACAGAAACGCAAGAACAGAAACUGUACAGAGGGGAGCAAGUUUUCUGCCCCUGUUUCUUCUCACAGAAACAGAGGCGUUCGUGCCUCACGAUCGUGAGGCACGAACGCGUGAAGAAAGGCCAUUCUCUGGCCACAGCAGGGGAAUCACGGAACCAAGGACAUCCAGAGAGCAGAGAGAACCCGAAGAAAUACCCAGAGGCUAAAAAUCCCAGACGGAAAAAACCCAGUAGACAGGGGGAAAGCUAAGCCCAGACACGAAAAAACCAGGGAGAGACCGGAGAAAAAACUGCUGAAAAACCAAAGCAGAGAAUACACGAAGAAAAGCCAGGGGAAGGAGACAGAGACAGAAACAGGGGAAGAGAACAAAAAGCCAACGUACCCCAGCUUCGCCUUCAUCUUCAGAACACAAACACAGUGAGCAGACGAAAAACCAGAGAAGAAAAACGCAAACAAAACCAGAGGAAGAAGCUUAAAAAAACGAAGAGAGGACCAGCAUCACCACCGACUGCCUCUUCUCCAGCACCAGCUUCCAAAACCAAAGGAAGAAGCUAAAAAGGAGAGAGGAACAAGCAGCUGACAGAAGGAAUACACCGAAAGAAGGGAAACGAACGAACACAGGGAUCUUGAGGCAAGGAUAGACGACCAAGAAAGACUGAAAAAAUCCGGAUCGCCAUUUCCAGCACCAGGUAAGUUGCGCUUUCCCUUCUUGCAUUUUAAUUACAUGCUCCUAUAGCAGGCGUGCGUGAACUGCUCACGCACGCCUGCUGGUAAAAAAAAUGGCCAGCCGGGUCAAGCCUGUGACCCGGCUAGGCCUGCUGGGUCCAGCCCAGCCACAUGGGCUGAGCUGGGCCCAGCCCCCAAAAAAUAAAAAAAAUAGAAAAUAGAAAAUAAAAAAAUAUAAACAUAUAAAAAAUAAAAAAUUAUGCAUGCAUAUAUUUAAAUUUAUUUUUAUUUGGUUUAUUUAAAGAGCUAGAGUCAGCAACACCAUUCAUUUUUGUUUUGAGUUACGUAAUACUUACCAACGCCAGAGUUGGAAGUAUCCGUAGUCGAAUAUUCACUGACGCCAGAGUCAAGAAUAUUAUAAACAAAUCAUCAUAGCAUAAACUAAUAAAUAUUUAGCAAUUUAAGACAAAACCAACAAUGCAGUCUGCCUUAGGCAGAACGUUUAAGGGGUGAUAAUAUCUUUCCUUUUACGUAACCAAUCCCGAGCCAUAGAAUCUCUGUUGACCAGUUAGGGUUCCUAGUGACCAUAAUACUAGGUGGCGACUCCUCAAACAAGACAUUUUCCCCUAAAAGAAUCAGAUGCCAGAAAUCUGUUCUUUUUCCAUAAUAUAAAUCAAGAGAACCAUUAUUUUUUAGGGCCGCCGCGAUGUCGGGUGCGACACAUCUCCCAAAAAAUGUGAGUGCCUCCUAUUUAGUAGUUCAUGCAUAGCAUGUGUCAACAACUUUUAUUUUUUUUAAUUAUAUUUAUAUUUAUCAAAAGAUUAAAUUGCCCCUCAUUCAAAAUUGAUUAUAACUAAAAAAAAAUCAUGAAAUAUAAAAAAGUCACUCGACAUCAGUUUAAAAUUUUUACUUUAAAGAGAAAUGUAGUUAUUUCAUUGUGCAAUCAAAGCAUUAAAAGACCAAAAAUCCUUUGGAUCCUAGUUUUAAUUUCAUUGUUUUUUGCUUUUAAGUAUAUUUAAGUUAUUUAAUUGUGUAUAUAAAAUGUUAAAAGACCGAUUUGUCUCUAAUCAAUAUAAUAAUAACAAAUAGACCUUAUAAAAAAGACUGGUUUGCCAUCAAUAAUUACUUAAGUGAUUUUGUUUGAGAAUGGAAAAAAAAUAUAAUUUUAAUGUUUCAAUCUAUAGUAAUAUAUGUUUAGGUGUACAAUGAAAAAUUAAAAUCUUUUAUUUUUUUAUAAUUAUAAUAUGCAUCAUUAUAAUAUGUGAUCAAAGCAAUUGAAGUGCAUUAUCUUCUAAAAAAAUACAUAAAGAAUCUUGAUUAUUGUUAUAAAACUUGACUAAAUGUAUCAAUUAUGUGGGAUCUUGUCGAACUUGAAUUUUAUAUCAAAUUAGGUUUGGAGUUCACUUGGUCAAAUUUAAUUUUGGUUUGAAUUUUAUAUCAAGCCAUGGAUUGGGCUAGGUUUUGUAGAAAUGAAAGAAAGUCUAUCAAUUGUUUAUGGCAAGGGCAUAAAUUACGUAUGAUCCAAUAUAGAAACACACAGAAGACAGAGAUCCAUAUACGUGGGAACAAAGGCUGGGCUAAGGGAGCUUAAACUCAUAUGAUAAAAGUAUUAUAUUAAUGAUAUAACACAAAAAUAAUUUAAUGGAAUAUUUUACUUCUCCUAGUUUGUGGUAAAGUAAGGCAGUGUUUAUUUUUGUGGUGGCACCGUAUUUUUUUUAAAAUCAUUUUAAAUAUUUUUUGGUAUUUUUAGAUUGUUUUCAUAUACUAAUAUAAAAAAUUAAUUUAAAAAAACAUUAUUUUUAGAUUGAAUCAAGAGGGUUUUGGAUGUGUUGGGAUAAAUCAUAAAAAUAUGCUUUGAAGAGUUCAGGAGUUGCUACCUAAUAUUAUGGUCACUAAGAAAUCUAAUGAUCCGCGACAAUUUGGAUGGAGGGACUAGUUGCGCAUGAGAAAAAUACAUCACCCCCAGUAUACCCUACCUUUGAUAAGCCGCGUUGUUGAUUGAUUGUUUUUUCUAAGAUCAUGUUUUUAUGUUUUUAUUCGUUGAUCUAUCUAAGAUCCAAGAAAAUUUUUCUUGGUAAAGAAAUCCUUAUUUUAUUAGGAUAAAACCUAACCUUUCUAAAGUCCAAAAGAAAUGGGUAAAAUACAUAUCCCAAGCUUAAACAAAAUAAUUUUUGUGGUGCUAUUUGUUUUUUGAAAUUCUGGUCAAAUCUUAACAGAUAAUCACAAACUUGUUGUGAUACUCAUUAAUUGAUCUUUUUCGUAUUUCUUCAAGUAUGAUAGAAUACAAUUUUUAUUUUUUUAUAAAAUAUGGAUGAAAAUUAUAGAAUUUGAUACUUUGAUUUUAUUUAAUUUAGUCCUUGGAAAAGUCUGGAACAACUCCUAAUGUUACGUGUCUUUUGCAGAAAGGUCCUUGGUUUUGAGUUCUUUCAAUUUGGUUCAACCUCUAUACUCUGAUUUUCUUGCAAUUUCGCCCUUGAUUCCAUCCAAUGAACUUUGUAAAAAUUAAAUAUGGUCCUCUAAAAUUUUAAUUUUCUCAAUUAAGUUAACCUUGAAUUUGCACUGUCCAAUUAAGUCCUUGCAAACUAGGCUUCCAGACUUAAUUUAUCACCAAUUAUGCUUUUAAUAAAAUUAAUUUUAUCAAUUAAAAAUCUAAUGAAGUUCUUACACUUAAUUAAUUCUUUUAAUUUCAGCCUAAGUUAAUUUCCAAACUUAAUUAAAUCUUUAAUUAGGCUCAUGAUUAAAUCAAAUCAGUCUAUUAAAUAUCUAAUUAAAUUCUUAAACUUAAUUUUUAUGCAAAUUCGUUCAAUAUUCACAUUAAGUUAAUUUUGAAUUUGCAUUUAGAUCCUUCAAAGGUUCAAUUGAGUUUUCAAUAUUGUCAAAGAUUCAGUUUGGUCUGUCUAUCCCUCAUUUAUGCAUAUAGAUCUCUCUUCAACUUGUUCUUGUCAUCCAAGUCACUUGUCUUCUUGUAUAUUUUUUUUAUUUUUCAACCUUUUUUUGGUAUAAAAGAAAACAAUAAUUUUGGAGGAACUCGAAAUUAAGUUAUGAUAAUUUUGAUAUAUUUUCAAGAGAAAAAUAUUUUAAAUUAAAAACAACUGCUAUUACAAUAUCAAACGCUACCUAGGGCAAAAGAGUAAAUUUUGUUGAAGAGAUCAAAAGAGUAUAAUAUCAAACUUUGUUGAAGAAAAGUAUUAUAUUAAUGAUCUCUUCAACAAAAUCUUGAUCACCCCAAAUUAAUCUCAAGAAGUAGUAGAGGAUCUUUUGAGAGCUAGAGAGCAAGAUUUUGUUGAAGAGAUCAAAAGAGGGCAAACCAACCAUCAUAUAUAUGUUCACAAGACAAUGUUUUUUUAUUUUUUUGAGCCACCUUCCCUUAGCAAACCAUUUUUGUAUAUUUACCAUAAUUUCUCACGUGUAAAGCAAACUUUCAUAUCUUAAAAGGUUGGUCUAGCAUAUAUCAGCCGAAACUUAUUUGCUUUUUUCAGAUCUCAAGCUUAAACCCUUCAUUCAAUAAUAAUAAUAAAAAAAAAAACUUAUAGGAUCACGGGCCACAGGGUAUAAUAAAGCACCUUGUAUUUUUAGACUGCAAGGUUAGUCUGUUACUCGAAAACCAGCCUAUGAUACCCUGUGUUUUUUUUAAAAAAUAAAAAUUAUUGGUUCAUUUUUCCUUAUAAAAAAACUGAUGAUGGUAAGAUGAUUGUCGGUCCAGAUAUUCUUUGCUUGGUUUUUGGAAAGGUUAAAUGAACCAAGACAAAUGGUGGCAUAAAUCAGCUCAUGAGUUGGUGGGAGGCAAGAGUUCAGAGAAUUAAUUAAGAAUAUUGACUUCAAUUCUGUGUCUGGCUCCCUGCUGUUCCAAGACAACAAAGAAUAUUAAAUUAAACAUGUAAAUGAAAUCAAUUUGACUAAUUGGUGUAAUGAAUCUCAUGACUAUAUAAUAUCAUAUAUCAAGAAAAUAUAAUUUAUACGGUCCCAUAGAGUGAUCAGAAAACUGUUUUUUAGGGGGUGAAAUAUUCAAUUAUGAUGAGCAAUAAGAAUUAAUUAAUUACAUAAUGAUUAUAUAUUUAAUAUUGUUCUGGAAAAAAGAAAAAAACUAAUAUUUUAUCCAAUCUCUAUUUCUCUGUUGUCAUCUCUUAAGCAUCUUAGGUAAGAAUUAUUAUUUAUAUCGUUAAGGAUUUAUACCAACUAAAUUUACCAAUCACUUUAACAAGAAUCCAUUGAUUUUAGAUUUUUUAUUAUUAUUAAUGUGGAUGCCCGGACCAGUAUGCGUACACCUCGAUUAAUUUCACGGGUCCUGAAGUUAACGACUAUAUAAGCCUCUAAUAGAUUUAAGAUUUAUAAAACUCGAACUGGUAAUCUAUAAAAUACAAAUCUAAAAUCUGAUGAAUUAAAUUAUACUUUUAUAUUAGUCCUUCAAAGAAUAAAUGAAUGAUGCAAUUUCACUUGUAUAUCAAUUGUUUAAUUUUAACUUUGAACCUUUAUAAUUUAUUAUUUCUUUCCUGCCACUUGCUUUCAACACCUCGUUGUGUUGGCAGAUUUUAUUUAGUGAUUUACCAUAAAAAAGGCUUGGGUUAAUGGGUAAUUUUUUUUAUUUGUUGAGAUUUUUUUAUUUAUUUAUGAAAGCCAUCUUUGCUUUUG